CUAGGGCCGCGCGGCCUUGGCAACGGACGCGCGCCCCGCCCGGCUCAGCCCCCUCCGGCCUCUCUAGCUGCGCAGGAGGACACGCGCGCUCUGCCUCGGUGGCUGCUUGAACCUCAGCCUGCUCCGCCCGCCCCACGCAUCGCCCGGCUCUGCACAGCGCUGACCAGAGACCAGGCGGUUCUGUAUGAAAAAGGAGCGAUCAGUUUAAAGUAACACUCACCAGGAAAAUAACACUUCACAUUAACUUGGAGAACCGAAUUGGCUCUUUUCAUCCCUUCAUUCCGGUUCCCUGUCCAGCACCCUCUGCCUUGGAGCCUUACCCCUGCUGCUGGUCCAACCCUCCCCUCCAUACUGAAGAGAGAGUGGACAACAUUCUGGUCACAGAGAAAGCAAAUCCCAGAAGAUGUAACCAACGAUUCCUGACUUCAGGAGAGAUAUCUGGAACCAGAGCCUCCCCAGGGAAAGGAUGCAGAGGCCAGCCUGGAGCCAGCAAGUCUUGAGGGGUCAGCGGAGUAGGGGGCCCCUAGCCUAAAUCACCCCCCACCCCUGAGAUGAGGCAGAGAACAGUGAAGAGUCAUUCACGGAAAAGGUAACUGAUUAAGAAUGGGGAAGGAACAGCAAAGAAGGGGUUUCUCACACAAAAGACUGGCAGGGGAGGCUUUCAAAGUGAGCAGUUUCCGAGUGAAUGAAUGAGAUUACCAUGGCUGUGACUCACCCCAGGAAACAGAAGCCACAAAGCAAAGUGGCUUCCAGGCCCUACCUCCCCCAGCUGGGUGGCAAACAUUCCCUGAGACAAAGACCUGAGGAUGCUGAGCUUCACAUCUGCCAAGAGCCCAGGAUGUGGGUCAGGCUUGGGGAAGGGCCUGGAUUUGGGUACCAGGGUCGAGAGCAGGAAUCAUGCAGAGCACAAACAAGCCUCGCCUACAGAUACAAGACAGGCUGUCUACACCAUUUGAAUUUCAGAUAAAACAAUAUUUACCAUAAAUUUAUGGCAGACGGUUUUUUUCCGUUCUUUUAUUUGAAAUUCAAGACUGAAUAACCCGCACUUAUUGUUCUCUAAGCCUGCAAGCCCCGCUUUUGGCAAGCAAAGCAUGUCCGUGGAGCCGAGCACAGAGCAGAAGCAGGCAUCUCCCACAAGUGGGGAGCCUCUCCUGUCAUUGCUGCUUCUACUUCCCCAGUCGGGGGUACAAAGCAAGGUCCCCACUACUUGCAUCCAGCUCCAGAUGUUGACACCUCCGUUGCUGAGCUUCAUGUCAGACUUGUGGAAGCUGGAGGAAGGCACAGUGAGAGAGGGAGCCGGAGAGAGGCACUGUCCCCCUCACAAAGUUCUACCUGGAGGUUUUCAGGACUUUGGCAAGGUUGGGGACCGGGUCCCAUCACCCCCAAAGGCCUCUGAGAUACUCUCUGCUGACCACACUUCUCUUCAGUGAGGGGAAAAGCUCUCCUCUCUGCGCACACAGAGUCAGGGUCAAGAGCCCCACUAGGAAAGUGAAUCUGGGGGUGUCACAAGCCCUGCCCACUUCUGAGGGGAGGAGUCAGGUAGGGGCAAGCUUCUAGCCUUCCUAGGAGUGCUAAAGUAUACAGGUGAGGACAGCUCAGCAGUAGAGCACUUGCCUAGCAUGUCUGAGGCUCCAGGUUCCAUGGUCAGCUCUGCAGGGCAAGGGGAACAGGAGGGCUCUUCAGGAGACUCAAGAAACGCUUACUUACAUUCCCACUCCCCACCUUCCUCUUAAAGCAAGUUAUAUUUUGUAUAUUUGUUUUAUUUUUUACUAUGUCAUUUAUGCAUUUAUUUUACUUUCUUUCCUUUUCUAGAGUAUAUGUCACAAUAAAAGUCAUAUAGCUUUGUAGUAAAAUAAAUCACAAUAUGACAUUUU